CCCGACGUUUGUCUUGACGUCGAGUGGGGACUUCUUAAAGAGGAUCGCCCCGUAUUUGGAGAGCGGGAAGGUGAAGGCCGUGCUCGAUCCCAAGGGACCUUUCCCUUUCAACAAGGUUAAGGAGGCUUUCUCGUAUCUCGAGACGAAUCGCGCUAUUGGAAAGGUUGUGGUAUAUCCAAUUCCUUAGGAUCAAACUGUUUGGUUACUCGAGAUUAUAUUAGCCGAAAUUACUAAAAGAUUGGGUGAGGCCAAGACUAAUUGUACGUGGCACUGUUAUGAGAUUAAGUCUGGGACCAAGUCCAUACAAUCAAAUGGCAUAUUAUAACAUAUCAUGAGACUAAUUUUAUCUAAAUUGAAUAGCACAUAAGGGCGUGUUUGGUUUGGGGUAAGGGAUUAGUCAGUAUGGUUAGUAAACUAGAUUAUUAGCGUGGAUAAAUAUGUGUUACUGAUAUUGGUUGGUUGUUUGCUAUUAUAGUUAAUUAAUCAUGAUUUUCGUUUGGUAUCCAUAUUUCUAGGUUAGAUAAGCUUAAAAAUGGACACAAUUGCAGGGCAGUAUUAAUUAUCCUGCGUAAUCCGAGGGGGGAGGCGGUAUUAAUUAUCCUGCGUAAUCGGAUUUUUAGCUUAGGGCUUUCGCAUAUCGCAGGGUCGUCCCAUAAGUGUUAUAUAUAGAAUACCAAAUCUUUACUACUUUGUAUUAACUUAACUAAUAUGUGUAAAACCCAAAACCAAACACGUCCAAUACAUUAGCAUAUAAUGUAUUAGGGAAUGUUUGAAGAAGUUGAUUGUGAGAAAUAUUGCAAGUUAAAUUAAUAUGGAUUUAUGUAGUGUUUGAUAUUAUGUGUUACUAAUAUGGUCAACUCCAGGUUUAUCCCAAGACCCUAGCUUAUUUUGUGGGAUUAACCCACACUAAUUAUCCCACCUCCUCCAUGGGAUUAACCCACACUAAUUAUUCCACCCCCGUUUGAUUUUUCAAUCAUGACUAAUCCACACUAAAUUAUCAGGAUAAUUUAUAUCCUGAUUAAUCCAAUACUGAAAAUCAAACGGGCCCUAAGUAUCCUUUUAUUGUGGGAUUUCCUGCAUUCAACAAAAGGGCCGACUUAUUUCAAAAUUAAUAUCGGAUCAAAUUAAAUCUAGCCCUAUAUAUAGCUUGAAAAAUCAAAAUUAUUAACUAAUAUUACAAUUAGAAUAAAGUUAUACUAACAUUCUUUGUUAAAAUAAUAAUAAUGAAUAUGAUAUGUUAUUGGGAAUAAAAUAAACUAGUUUCAAAAAAACAUUAACUAAUACAAUUAGAAUGCUUAUUUGGAUUUGAUCAAGCUCAUGGGCAUCAAAUAUAUAAGGCUCGGCUCAAAUUGAUUACACUCCUACGUAUGAAUAUAUCAUGUUUUUUGACAAUACUCAGGCUUACUUCUUUUUUUUUUUUUUUAAUUAUAAUUAUAUGGGAUUUCCGACUGAAUCUCAAACAAAGUACCAAGCUCGUAACUUUUUUUUUGAGGAAAAUUUUCAAGCUAUAAUUAACUAUACACAUUAUUGGAAAGAAAAUGACCAGACGCAUUAGCUAGAGCAUCCAUAUUGGUUGAGUCAAUGCUUGACUCGUCCAUGCUGCAUUGUAUAAAUUAGUUUUGGGUUUUCUUUAUUUUUGAUUUUAAUUUAAAUGACACAAAUUUAAAUAAGACAAUUACUUCAACUAAAAUUAAAUAAAUUUAGAUUACAUCAAAUUAAAUGACAUAAAUUUAAUAUGUGAAAAUCAGUUAUCUCUGGCUCCCCUUUGAGUUAGAAUUUAAUCCAUCCGUUGCGCAAAUUGACCGAUGCGAGGUCCGAUUGGUAAUACGGACCCAAUAGACCGCCACACUAAUUUGAAGAAAAAAAAUCGGUUGUUGGGAUCAUUUGAAAAGAGAAUAGGAGAAUCGAAGAAUAAAAGAUCAAUGAAUUGAUGUAUAAAUUGUGUAGACGAAAUAUGUAUUUAUAAAUGAUAAAAGAAAGAAAAAAAUUGGCACUAGUUGUUUUUUUCUCGUUGCUGCAGCCUAUUUUAUUAUUUAUUAUUAUUAUUAUUAUUAUUAUUAUUAUUAUUAUUAUUAUUAUUAUUAUUAUUAUUAUUAUUAUUAUUAUUACAGACAUGUGUAACACCCAUCAGAUUUUUCGUUCAUCGUGCCCGACUCAUUCAAUUGUGUCGGCGCUUGAGUUAGGGUACCCUGCAGCAUCGGUUGGCUCAUCGCCGAAGCCGGCUCGAGCCAGGCUGAUGACCCAACCGAUGUGUUGCUCUCAUAAUAUCUUCGCUAUUUCUUCUUAAUAAAUUAGCCCAGCAAUAAAUGAGUUAUUGUACGAGGUUAAAUGAGUUAUUUUUUAUUCUAAAGGAAUUCUUACUAAUUUUAAAUCAUUUACUACAAUCACAUAGAGUCCGAGCAACAUUUCCAACAUUCAAUACUUAAUCUGGAAUUACUCAAAAGGAAAAGAAAAGAAGAAAAAGGUAUGUAAAUAAGUAAAACAAAAAGUAAUGUCUAGAUACAUCGUUGCGCCGGCGAUUUGGAAAAGUUGAUUGAUUCAUUUAUUUAUUUAUUUAUCCGUUUUUUGAAUAGUCUUAGAUCCAAACAUGAAAUGAUUUAGGUGGAGCUACAAAACAAAUAGUAUUAAAACUAAACACUGAUAAAAUAAACAUCUGUCCUCGAUAGACCAUGUUCAUCAUAAUGAUGGAACCUUUUUUUUGUUUUUUACAUAAAUACUACUAUUAUUUAAAUAAAAUAUAAUAAACUCCAACUUGCAUAUAAAUUAGACAAAUAAUUCACAUAUAAAAUAAUAAAACGAAACUAGAUAAGAAUUAGUAAUAUUAAAAGAUAUGUCCAUGUCAUGGAAUUCCUGUUUGAAAAGUUGGGACAUAAUCGGAUAAAUGUAAAAAUUAUGAUAGAUUUUACAAUUAACUCAAUAAAAAUUCGCCUAAAGAAGGAGAUCGGCGAUGAAUUCCCCUCGACGUGGAGUGUUUCGUCUAGACGUAGACGUUUCCAUUCACGAGGUUAAUGGUGCAGCGGGUGUGGGGUUUUUUGAUUCAACACGAUGGCGGCUCUGCUCACUGGGUCGGACUACAGAGAUGGCUUAAUGUGAAUUGCACGCGAUGCUUUUGGGAUUGAAUUUGUUUGAAGAAUGAUAUUGACCCAUUAUUAAUUUAUUCGGAUUCUCUCUUGGCCGUGCAUGAAGAUUACAAAGGCACGUAUUCUCUAUAUGACGUUCGUACCUCAUGCCAAGAAACACAUUGUCUUAUAUUUUCGGUCAUAUCGAAAGGCGAACAGAGCUACUCAUUGUUUUAGUCUAAUUUUGUCAUCUUGAUCUGAUGGUGUUAUUGUUUUAGCUAAUUUUGCAUCUUGAUCUGAUGGUGUUAUGAUCUGGAAGUCGGAUUUUUUCAUCUUGGCUUUCAGAUAUUGUUCAUCGUGAUUAAAUAUAAUUUCGUUAAAAAAAAACUCAAUAAAAAUUGAUUUAAAAAAGAAAAAACUUUACCGCCAAAGAAGACCAAAAUGUUAGACGCCGGAAACAUCGAAGAAUAUCUGGAGAUUUUUUAAAGACAAAAAAUGAAUAAUUAAUUAAUUCAACCAUUCAACGUCAAAAAUAGUACACUAAUCUUCGCAAUAGAAAAUUCGAAAACGGGACUCCCCAUUUUCAGCAGAAUUUAGAAAUGUAUAAAUGAAGCCCAAAGCAGAGAAGAAAAUUCAUCAGCUCAAUUCAAAGCAUAUUGUUUAAUUCAAUCACCAAAAAUUCCGCAGUUUAAUUUUGUUGAAAAGAAAGAAAAAAAUUCCGAAAAUGAAGGCGUGGUCUUACAAACAGUACGGCGGCCCGGAGGUUUUGAAGCUCGAGUCCGACGUGGCAGUGCCGGAGCUCAACGACGAUCAGGUCCUAAUUAAGGUUGUCGCGGCGGCGCUCAACCCCGUCGAUUACAAGAGGCGCGGCGGCGCUUUCGGCCCCUACGAUUCGCCUCUUCCCGUAAUUUCUCUUCCACGAUCUUAAUUUUACUACGCAAUCAAUUAAUUUCGAUUGAUUGCGAUUUGUAGAUCUGAAUCGAAUUAAUUAACUUUUUUUUUUUUCAGAUUAUUCCCGGCUUCGAUGCCGCCGGAGUUGUCGUGAAAGUUGGGAGCAAAGUGAAGAGUUUCAAGGAAGGAGACGAAGUUUAUGGAGACAUCAACGAUCCAUAUGCAGGGAUGAAGCAGUUGGGGACUCUAGCAGAGUUCACCAUUACUGAGGAGAGGUUGUUGGCUCUCAAGCCUAAGAACCUGAGCUUCGUGGAGGCUGCUUCUCUCCCUCUCGCCAUCGAGACGGCCUACGGUGGUCUCGAGAGCGUCAAAUUUUCGGAGGGAAAAUCGAUUCUCGUCAUCGGAGGAGCUGGUGGUGUCGGAUCCCUCGUCAUUCAGGUGAAUAUACACAUGACAUGUAUCGAUGAAGUGAAAUAUUAGAUGAAUUAUCUUAAAUUCAACUUCAACUUUACAAAUAACUUUUAUUUACAAAAAAUCAUCACGAUCCACACUUGAUUCAACUUCAAUCACUCAUUUUUUUUAAACCUAUGCCAUCUCAAAGUUCGAUAAUAACUCUAAGUUUUUUUUCUGGGAGUCUCAUUUAUAACGUUUCAAUCCAAAAAAUAAAAUAUGAGUACUUUAUUUACUCUUCAUCUUUCUCUUCAUUUAUUUGAUCACUCUUUUACUAAUUCAAUAUUCUCUCUAUCUCUCUUCUUAUUUACUUUAUCAUUUUCUUACUUUAUCUACAUUUUUUUGAUUUGCCUAUCCCAUUUUUUUGGGACUUCAUUAUUGAGACUGAUGAAAUAUACUACUCCCUCCGUCCGCCAAAAGUAUUCCACUUUGGCUGGGCACGGAAUUUAAUAAAAUUGGAGAUGAUGUUGAUGUAGUGGAGAAAGGGUCCCACCACUUUAUGAGAUGUGUGGUUGAGAUUGAAUUUAGGGUGAGUUUUUUGUAAAUAAAGAGUGUUUGUAAGGAUAAAAUAUAAAGGUGGAUGGUGGGACCAUGGCUUAAAAAGAAAGGUGGAAUACUUUUUGCGGACGCCAAAUAUAGUAAUUGUGGAAUACUUUUGGCGGACGGAGGGAGUAUAAUAUAUUUAUUUUUAUUUUGAUAACAUAAUCCUAAUGAUAGUAGUAAUUAAUUUUCAUUGCUUAUACAGUUAUACUAGUAAAAUAAUAAGUGUGCAUUUCUCAUUAUAUUUCUUUAUUGACUUUGAACUUUAAUACCCCAUGUCAUAUUGGUUGGUACUUAAAUGGUUGUAUUAUUACUUAUUGUGGAUCUGGACCAAGGUCUUAUUUUCUUGAAGUCAAUGAAUUUUGAUUGGAUUCGAAUCCAAGUAAAAAUUUAUGAAUCUAAAUUCAGACCUAGCAAGAUCGAUUCUAGAUUCGGCCGCCAACUUUAAUCUCGAGUUGGAUUUAUUUAUAAAUAUCCACGUGAUAUGUAUUGGUGAAAUGAAAUACUAGAAGUGAUGGAUAAAACAGAGUAUUAAAUAUGAGGUGUUGGGUUAUUUGUGUAGAUUGCAAAGCAAGUGUUUGGUGCUUCAAAGGUUGCUGCAACUGCCAGCACUGCAAAAUUGGAUCUUUUGAAGUAGUUUGGGUCGCAGAUUUGGCUAUUGAUUACACCAAACAGAACUUCGAGGAUUUGCCCGACAAAUACGACGUCGUUUAUGACACUAUUGGUAAGAAAAUUACUCCCUUCGUUCACAAAACUUUUUUGAAUUUUAAUUAUCACUAAUUUUCUAAUUUCCGGGACUUUUUUCCGCUCAUCAAAUACACAGUUAAUUGUACUAUGUGGAAAUAUAAAUUUUUGACAUAUUUUGUUUAAAUUUAAUUAGGGCAAGUGGAUAAGGCCGUGAAGGUUCUAAAGGAAGGAGGCUCGGCCGUAGUCGUAGCAGUCGGAAUUCCCGUCGCGCCGCCGGCAUUCGCAUAUUCACUAAAUGCUAGUGGAGAAUAUUUGACAAAAUUGAAUCCAUAUUUGGAAAGCGGGAAGGUGAAGGCCGUGCUCGAUCCCAAAGGACCUUUCCCCUUCGAGAAGGUCGAGGAUGCUUUUGCACAUAUUGAGACAAACCAUGCUACCGGAAAGGUGGUCGUGCACCCCAUUCCUUAAAGAAGCAUUGUUG
rnacentral:lncRNA from 1 species